CCGAAGUACAUGAUUCCAUGCUUCCAAGAAAAGCAUCUAGAGAGAGAAGUAGUGCCCGUACCGCAAACCGACACAGGUAGAUGAGGAGAGAAUCCUAAGGCCGGCGGAAGAAUUGCAGUUAAGGAACUAGGCAAAUUGACCCCGUAAGUUCGCGAGAAGGGGUGCCUGCGAGAGCAGGCCGCAGAGAAUAGGCCCAAGCAACUGUUUAGCAAAAACACAGGUCUCUGCUAAAGCGCAAGCUGAUGUAUAGGGGCUGACGCCUGCCCGGUGCUGGAAGGUUAAGGGGAACACUUAGCGCAAGCGAAGGUGUGAACUUAAGCCCCAGUAAACGGCGGCCGUAACGAUAACGGUCCUAAGGUAGCGAAAUUCCUUGUCAGGUAAGUUCUGACCCGCACGAAUGGCGUAAUGACUUGGGCACUGUCUCAACUGCAAAUCCGGCGAAGUUGUAGUGCGAGUGAAGAUGCUCGCUACCCGCGAUUGGACGGAAAGACCCCGUAGAGCUUUACUGCAGCUUAGCAUUGAAUUCCGGUAUUGUCUGUACAGGAUAGGUGGGAGACUGGGAAACAAGGGCGUCAGCCUUAGUGGAGUCAACCUUGGGAUACCACCCUGACAGUACUGGGGUUCUAACAGGACGCCAUGAAUCUGGUGACUGGACAUUGUUAGGUGGGCAGUUUGACUGGGGCGGUCGCCUCCUAAAAAGUAACGGAGGCGCCCAAAGGUUCCCUCAGAACGGUCGGAAAUCGUUCGUAGAGUGCAAAGGCAUAAGGGAGCCUGACUGCGAGACCUACAAGUCGAGCAGGGACGAAAGUCGGGCUUAGUGAUCCGGUGGUACCUCGUGGGAGGGCCAUCGCUCAACGGAUAAAAGCUACCUCGGGGAUAACAGGCUGAUCUCCCCCAAGAGUCCACAUCGACGGGGAGGUUUGGCACCUCGAUGUCGGCUCGUCGCAUCCUGGGGCUGUAGUAGGUCCCAAGGGUUGGGCUGUUCGCCCAUUAAAGCGGCACGCGAGCUGGGUUCAGAACGUCGUGAGACAGUUCGGUCCCUAUCCGUCGCGGGCGUAGGAAAUUUGAGAGGAGCUGUCCUUAGUACGAGAGGACCGGGAUGGACUGACCUCUGGUGCACCAGUUGUUCCGCCAGGAGCAUGGCUGGGUAGCUAAGUCGGGAAGGGAUAAACGCUGAAAGCAUCUAAGCGUGAAGCCUCCCUCAAGAUGAGAUUUCCCAUAGCAUAAGCUAGUAAGACCCCUUGAAGAACACAAGGUUGAUAGGUCAGAGGUGUAAGUGCGGUAACGUAUGUAGCUGACUGAUACUAAUAGGUCGAGGGCUUGAUC
rnacentral:rRNA from 1 species